CCUACGGGAGGCUGCAGUGGGGAAUAUUGGGCAAUGGAGGCAACUCUUACCCAGCAAUGCCGCGUGAAUGAAGAAGGUCUUCGGAUUGUAAAGUUCUUUAAUUGGGGACGAAAAACAUGACGGUACCCCAGGACUAAGCCCCGGCUAACUACGUGCCAGCAGCGGCGGUAAUACGUAGGGGGCAAGCGUUGUUCGGAAUGACUGGGCGUAAAGGGUGUGUAGGCGGUGUAGCAAGUUAGCAGUGAAAUACCUAGGGCUUAACUCAGGUGCUGCUUCUAAAACUGCUAUACUUGAGUGCGGUAGAGGAGAGUGGAAUGCCUGGUGUAGCGGUGAAAUGCGUAGAUAUUAGGAGGAACAUCAGUGGCGAAGGCGACUUACUGGACUGUAACUGACGCUGAGGCACGAAAGUGUGGGGAGCAAACAGGAUUAGAUACCCGAGUAGUC
rnacentral:rRNA from 1 species